UUUGACUGCUUGGAGGAUAGAAGAGUUAGUGGCGGACGGGUGAGUAACGCGUGAAGAUCUGCCCAUUGGUGGGGGACAACAGUUGGAAACGGCUGCUAAUACCCCAUAAGCCGGGAGGUAAAAGGAGCAAUCCACCGGUGGAGGAUCUCGCGUCCUAUCAGCUAGUUGGUGAGGUAAUGGCUUACCAAGGCGAUGACGGGUAACUGGUCUGAGAGGGCGACCAGUCACACUGGAACUGAGACACGGUCCAGACUCCUACGGGAGGCAGCAGUGGGGAAUAUUGGGCAAUGGGGGCAACCCUGACCCAGCGACGCCGCGUGAGGGAAGAAGUCUUUCGGGACGUAAAACCUCUGUUGUACGGGAAGAAGGAAGUGACGGUACCGUACGAGGAAGCCCCGGCAAACUACGUGCCAGCAGCCGCGGUAAUACGUAGGGGGCGAGCGUUGUCCGGAAUUUCUGGGCGUAAAGAGCACGUAGGCGGAUCGUUAAGUCUACUGUGAAAGUCCCGGGCUCAACCUGGGAAAUUGCAGUGGAUACUGGCGGACUAGAGUACUGGAGAGGGAAGUGGAAUUCCCGGUGUAGCGGUGAAAUGCGCAGAUAUCGGGAGGAACACCAGUGGCGAAGGCGGCUUCCUGGCCAGUAACUGACGCUGAGGUGCG
rnacentral:rRNA from 1 species